CACAGAGGGCGCGAGCGUUAAUCGGAAUUACUGGGCGUAAAGCGCACGUAGGCGGCUUGGUAUGUCGGGUGUGAAAUCCCCGGGCUCAACCUGGGAACUGCAUCCGAAACUGCCUUGCUAGAGUAUGGGAGAGGGAAGUGGAAUUUCCGGUGUAGCAGUGAAAUGCGUAGAUAUCGGAAGGAACACCCGUGGCGAAGGCGACUUCCUGGACCAAUACUGACGCUCAGGUGCGAAAGCGUGGGGAGCAAACAGG
rnacentral:rRNA from 1 species